rnacentral:misc_RNA from 1 species
UGCAGUGGGCGUAUUGUGUCGAGUGAUAUCCAGAUGGUCGGCAUUGGUUUCUAAUUUGACGUACUGAAGCCGUCUGGAACAAGAGUGCUAAGAGCCAAGCCAUGGGGAAGAAAAUUCAUUCUCUCUGUUCACAUGACCAGUGUUGUAGAUCCUGCCAAUACGGAAGUUCAGCCAAUGUUGUAGCACGACAAGUUGAUGCCCUCGUUACGUCGUGCGGUUCGGGUUAGUUUCACCGAGAUGAUGAAAAGCUAAUAUAAAAGCUGUACAAAAACGAAAGCAAAUCUCAGAGGAGCAGGCAAAAUGCAUGGACAUAAUUUAAGUUGCUUCUGUAAAAUCAACAAAACAAACAAAAAAUAUUGUAAAAUUGAAUUAAAUU